CUGCGCUCGACCUCAGCGAUAGCUCCGAUGAGGUCUCCCAUGAUUCGUUCUUCGAUGACAGAAGAGAGAGAGCACGUCCCGUCGGCGAUGCACCUGCUACACUGCUGGCAGAACCUCUGUUCUAAGCCAACAACCACAACUUUGGGAGCCUUGGAGUGCAUCUCGCAGACCCUAUGCCUACGGUGGUAGUCCUUAGCGUUCACCAGCGCCACAUGACACCCUUCCACUUGACACCGAGGAACGCUAAUCGGAACUGUACUGUACAACGGCUUCCCUCUCUUCCCCACGACGGACGGCGCAGUGGCGUCCUCAAAGUAGUGCCUCUUGCCGAGCUUCAAGCACAUGAGAUAUGGGUCCCGGUGGAAAUGGCCGCCCUGAUGGUGAUCUCCGGCGUAGAGACACUGGUGGUGUUGGUGGGCGUCACCGUGGGUGGAGUUGGCAGUGGCCCAAUCCAAGUGGAAGCGAGAGGAAUUGAGGUGCUCCCAAACGUUAGUGGGGUUGGCAGUUUGGUCUCUUCCAGCAUUGGACUGUCCAAUCAAAUUGCCACAAAUCUCCAUCUCAAGAACUGCAAGAACUGCAGCAAAAGAAGGAAAGGAAGAAGAGAGGUUAGAAAUGGUGGGCGAAGAAAUAGGCAUAAGGGGUUGGGGGAAUUUAUACCAAAAUAAGUAAAGAAGAGGGUGGUGUCGGAAAAAACCGAGACAGAGACAGAGGGAAACAGAGGGCUAAAAAUACUUGAAUUAAAUUUUAAAUAAGUGAAAAUUUUAAUUUAAUUAUUAAAAAAGAUUAAAAAAAAUUGUGAUUGUGAAGAACGGAUAGAGAAGAGGGUGGGCCAUACCCGUGUAGAAGGUGGGAUCCAUAUCAAGAUCUCCUAAACACAGCAGAGAUUGUGAUUGUGACCACUCCUACUAUAUAUGUAUUUAUGAGAUUAUUUUUUUAAAUAUUGUAUUUUUAUUUUUA